rnacentral:misc_RNA from 1 species
CAACCCUCAAGCUCUGCUUGGUAUUGGAUGUUACCGUUUAUGGUACAUCUAAAAAUUAGUGGCGGUGCUAUUCAGCUUCAAGCAUAGUAAUACAUCUUGCUCUGGAGUUGGAUGUGUGCAUGCCAGCAACCCCUAAUUAUCAAAA